AGUUGCCAGGCAACCGACGGAGACUCCGGGAAAGUUACUGGUCCCGAGCAAGAAAUGGUCGGCCCGUGUAGAACCACAACAUCAAAUCUUAAGUACAUAUGUAUAAGCUCCCAGUAGCUUCCCUCCCAGUCCCACCUCCACCACCACUGCAGCCCUCUCUAUUGAAGACAUGUUUGUUUGGGGCUAUGAAAGAGCCAUUUUUUACCUCAGCGCUACUGUAGAUAUUACCAAUGCGAAGCCCCCCCUCCACCGACGAGUGGAUCCGAGCGAUGUCCCAGGAGACGGACUAUUUUCUGUUUGCUGGAUUUUCCUCCUGCGUCCAUGAAAAGGCUGAUUAUGUUACAACUGGAGCGCUUGUGUCCGGUGGGCUGAAUUGGAGAUUGUUGUAGGAUAGGAAAAAACAACUCUUAAUGCUGACAAAAUGAGACACUCAUGACCUGAUGGUGUGUGUUCAUUCUGUGACAAACCAUCACCAGUGUUCAGUCUGUCUUCAGUGUCUCAAAACACAUAUUUAACAUAGUUUACCACCUCAGUGGUAGUGGGAGUUCUGGAUUUGAUGAGAGCUGCUCAUAAACAUGGUUUUUAACUGAGAUAUGUUUUCAUAUACUGGCUCGUCAGAUGUUUACACCUCCCUAUGAGGUCUUUUGGGAUAAGACCAUAAGAGCUAAGAGGUCCUCUACGUAAAUAAAGACCCGUUACAGCCAAUGUAGAAGUUACCAACACAAAACUUUUAUCUUUUAUACAUACUGGCUUUUAAUAAGAUCAGAGGAAAAAAAUUAUGAGUAUUUUUUUUUUUUUACACAGACUGCAGCUGGGUAUAUGAGAACCCCAAACAACAAUGUGAAUCACAAACCAUUCAACACAGUGGCCAUCUAACAUCUCCACAGUCUGAUCAUCUGCAGAUCUCAGAGAAACACACACACUCACAGAUCACAUCGCCCCAAAUCCAAGAAAAAAAAACUACUGAAAAUUAAAAGACUUCAAAGUUCUUGAGGACAGUAAAAAAAAGUUUUCAGCUUCAGAUUAAAACAAAAAGAAGAUGUCAGUCCUACAGGUCUGUUCGGUACAUGCAGUAUGUACAGUCGAGAGUGGGACGAAGCAGCACAGUGAGAGUCGCACAACUAGUUCUGCUAGUUUGUGGCAACUCUUUUUAAAAAUACACACUUUUGUCACAAAUCUUAAGGGUUCAGGCUCUCUCGCAGAAGACAACACUGCUGUGCUUUUUUGAGAGAGGAUAACUACUGUUCUACUAAAAAAACAGACGUUAAUCAGCUCUGUUCCCCAGAUGUUAAGAUUACAAUAAUUUAGGUGUUAUAAUUAUCCUAUUUCUUAUUAAAAAAUCUAAAUGAUAUGACAGAGAAACGGAGCCUACAAGUGUUUCUGGUGCCAAUUCUUUACAAUUUACACCCACACACACACA